GUCCUUUUAUUCAAACAUCUCACCCGAAAAAGAUUAAUUCCAACCAUCAGGAGCUACUCUGAUAAAGCAGGAAUGCUGCUGAUAACGAUAGGAACUGAUAGCAGAAAGGUAGCAGCAGCUGUCUGUUCCUGCUAACAGCCCAGAGGUGAAAAGUGAGGGCCUGGGCUGAUCAGCACUGCCAGCCAAGGCCAGAGGGCGGGGUCACCAAGAACCAAUCCCUUGCGGGGAGCAGCUCACACCUACCCAGGAACCUGCUAAUUGAUCAGCACUUGAGGACAUGAAGACGCCUUGGGACUAAAGAAAAUGGGACUUGUCACAAUGUGAAAACAAUAUCAGUCUGGCUAGAAAAGAGGGUGUGUGGACAACCAGUGCUAAUUUGAUCUUUCUUAUAAUAACCUCAUUUUUUUUAAAAUAAAUUAUAUAACAGGUUAACAAAUAGUCUUUGAUAAUCCAGAAUGAGCAUCAAUAAAUAUACUUAUCUCUGCA